AUGGAGACUGCUGAGCCCCAGCCCAUGGGUGUUGCCUGGGUAAGGAGAGUAGGUGUGGAUGCCUGGAGGUCUGUACUUAAGCUGUGGAGAUGGACAAAGUGGAGUGGCCCCAGUGAGAAGGCCAAUGUGUGUGGAGGUAAGGUCAGCAGUCAGUGGGGGGCCUGGAGGUCAGAUAGGAGUGGGGGAGAGGUCAGCAGUCAGUGGGGGGCCUGGAGGUCAGAUAGGAGUGGGGGAGAGGUCAGCAGUCAGUGGUCUGGUCUAGGAGGACAGAUGCAGAAUUUUGGUCUGGUCUAGGAGGACAGCUGUAGAACAUUGGUCUGGUCUAGGAGGACAGCUGUAGAACAUUGGUCUGGUCUAGGAUGACAGAUGUAGAACCUUGGUCUGGUCUAGGAGGACAGCUGUAGAACAUUGGUCUGGUCUAGGAGGACAGCUGUAGAACAUUGGUCUGGUCUAGGAGGACAGCUGUAGAACCUUGGUCUGGUCUAGGAGGACAGCUGUAGAACCUUGGUCUGGUCUAGGAGGACAGCUGUAGAACCUUGGUCUGGUCUAGGAGGACAGCUGUAGAACCUUGGUCUGGUCUAGGAGGACAGCUGUAGAACCUUGGUCUGGUCUAGGAGGACAGCUGUAGAACCUUGGUCUGGUCUAGGAGGACAGCUGUAGAACCUUGGUCUGGUCUAGGAGGACAGCUGUAGAACCUUGGUCUGGUCUAGGAGGACAGCUGUAGAACCUUGGUCUGGUCUAGGAGGACAGCUGUAGAACCUUGGUCUGGUCUAGGAGGACAGCUGUAGAACCUUGGUCUGGUCUAGGAGGACAGCUGUAGAACCUUGGUCUGGUCUAGGAGGACAGCUGUAGAACCUUGGUCUGGUCUAGGAUGACAGCUGUAGAACCUUGGUCUGGUCUAGGAGGACAGCUGUAGAACCUUGGUCUGGUCUAGGAUGACAGCUGUAGAACCUUGGUCUGGUCUAGGAGGACAGCUGUAGAACCUUGGUCUGGUCUAGGAGGACAGCUGUAGAACCUUGGUCUGGUCUAGGAUGACAGCUGUAGAACCUUGGUCUGGUCUAGGAGGACAGCUGUAGAACCUUGGUCUGGUCUAGGAUGACAGCUGUAGAACCUUGGUCUGGUCUAGGAGGACAGCUGUAGAACCUUGGUCUGGUCUAGGAGGACAGAUUUACUUCUGCUCUUUAAUCAUUUUUUAUUUAUUUUUUUACUUUUCUAUUUUUAA
rnacentral:lncRNA from 1 species